CGUGCGUGCUACACAUUGUGCCUGGAGAGAUUGAUGUUUUGUCAUCCACCUGCUUCUAUGCUGUAAAAGCAAGCGCAGCAAAGGCAAACCUACCCAGCUUCAAAAUCCAAACAAAGAAAUCUUAGUGGGCUGUUUACAUAUCUGUGGAAGGAUAUCUGGGCUUGUGUUGACGGGGUGCUAGAGUGGCUGAGAGAUCAGUCCCCGCACAAUGGACGAGUGGGAAAUCAAAGACUGGGAUGCGGGGAGGACACUGGGGAAACUGACAGAGGGGUGAGCUCUGGAAAGGAGGACGGAUACUUCCUGUUCCUGCUGGAGUGACCCGCAGGUCUGAGGAGGAGUGAGUGAGAGGAAGGCAGAGAAAGCGAGGUACUUUUACAGUGAUUUGCUGCCAGCUUUACCCUUGGCCAGAGUGCAGUAGUGAAACCGGAAGUGACAGUGCCAGAUCACAGGUGUUUGUCCACAUUUCUUCUUCAUAAAUGUCCAUAUGACCAAGCUGGGGUACUUGGAACACACAGGGCAGUGGACACAAGCAUUUGGACAGCUCCCAACAUGUUUGUCAUCAAAUGAGCCAUUAUCACAGUACAGAAGCUCUAGUGGUGUUGGUUGUGUUUUGGAAGACCUGAGGGACACAGCGGCCACCAUGCACAUCUGCAUCCUGUAUGUGGCUGAG